GUCCGUAUGGUGUAGUGGUAGCAUCAUUGCCUUACACGCAAGAGGUCCCAGGUUCGAACCCUGGUACGGACA
rnacentral:tRNA from 1 species